UGCCCAGCAACUCCUAUCCCUACCUCCACGCUGUACCGGCCGGAAACUAUGAGCAACCUUAGGGAAGAUCGGGUAACCAACCCCGGUGGGACCUUUGGUCGUAGGCUGACAGGGAAGG
rnacentral:ribozyme from 1 species